AAUGUUUCAUAAGUGGUGAUUUCGCCAUAUCCCUAUAUAGUAUUUAUGACAUCAGUAAAGAAUUCGAGUCGUUGUGACCGUUGUAGGAAUUAGUAGUGUAAAAGACUUAGUAUGGAACGAAACUACUCGGGGGUCGUUCCUAGCUUCUGACUUUUUCAAGCAGCUUUUCCCUUACCAUCUCAUGCUCAUGUGGGUUUGAGAAAUCUAGUUUUGUCAUCCGGGUAUAUGCUCGCUGUAUCUGGCAUCACAUUUAACAAAAAUCAGAUGGAUGAUUAUUGUGUACGAAAAGACUGUUUAUCAUUUAAUUGUGAUUGAAUCUUCGAUUCAAACAAAUUUCCAUAAUAUUGCUGGAGCAGUUUUGAGGACACACCAUUGCUGUCGAUCUGAUAUUAAACCGUUAAAGUUCAACGUCAUUUUAAACAAAACAACGUUUAGCUCAUCUUUGGAUCAAGUGUGAUCUUUGACCGAGUCAUCUCAUUGCUUUUGGAUUUCAGAGCUAACACGUCUCAGACUGAUAUGACAGAGUAAGAUUUUUUUUUUUUUUUUUUUUGGUUUUUGUUUUGUUUUGCUUUGCUUAUGUUUUAAUAUGUACGGUACAAACAUGUUGAUGCAGCGAAAUGUCCCUCAUAACGUUAGAUAACUGGUCUGUAAUGAAAAUAAAUGUACGAGAAGUGAGGGGCUUAGGGCUGCGUUCACCCGAGAAUCGGAAACUACCAAAUUAAUUUUAAUCACCUUUAUACUAGAAUUGAUAUUUCUCUUUAAUGCAAAUUCCGUUUAAAAUUAUUUUGACCCCAAAGGUACUGUCAUGUUACUUUUCCAAAACAAA